rnacentral:rRNA from 1 species
GUGCCAGCAGCCGCGGUAAUACGAAUGGGGCAAGCGUUGUUCGGAUUUACUGGGCGUAAAGCGGGCGUAGGCGGCCGGCUAAGUCGGAUGUGAAAUCCCGGGGCUCAACUCCGGAGCUGCAUUCGAUACUGGUCGGCUAGAGUUCGAGAGGGGGAUGCGGAAUUCCGCGUGUAGCAGUGAAAUGCGUAGAUAUGCGGAGGAACACCUGAGGCGAAGGCGGCAUCCUGGAUCGACACUGACGCUGAGGCCCGAAAGCGUGGGGAGCAAACAGGAUUAGAUACCCUGGUAGUCCACGCCCUAAACGGUGGGCACUAGGUGUGGGGCCUUUAAUGGUUCCGUGCCGAAGGGAAACCAAUAAGUGCCCCGCCUGGGAAGUACGGCCGCAAGGCUGAAACUCAAAGGAAUUGACGGGG